rnacentral:rRNA from 1 species
AUCCGCGGCCGCAGAGUUUGAUCAUGGCUCAGGAUGAACGCUAGCGGCAGGCUUAAUACAUGCAAGUCGAGCGGUAACAGGUGUGGCAAUACAUGCUGACGAGCGGCAGACGGGUGAGGAACACGUACGCAACUUUCCUCAAACCGGGGCACAACCUUGAGAAAUCAGGGCUAAUUCCCCAUAACAUUGCGAGAGGGCAUCUGAUUGCAAUUAAAGAUUCGUCGGUUUGAGAUGGGCGUGCGUUCGAUUAGCUAGUUGGUAAGGUAACGGCCUACCAAGGCAACGAUCGAUAGCUGGUGUGAGAGCACGACCAGCCACACGGGCACUGAGAUACGGGCCCGACUCCUACGGGAGGCAGCAGUAAGGAAUAUUGGUCAAUGGACGAAAGUCUGAACCAGCCAUGCCGCGUGAGGGAUGAAGGUCCUCUGGAUUGUAAACCUCUUUUAUCUAUGAAGAAAUGUCCUGUUUCUACGGGAUUUGACGGUAAUAGAUGAAUAAGCACCGG